rnacentral:rRNA from 1 species
AGUAACGGCGAGUGAAGCGGCAACAGCUCAAAUUUGAAAUCUGGCGUCUUCGACGUCCGAGUUGUAAUUUGCAGAGGGCGCUUUGGCAUUGGCAGCGGUCCAAGUUCCUUGGAACAGGACGUCACAGAGGGUGAGAAUCCCGUACGUGGUCGCUAGCCUUUACCUUAUAAAGCCCCUUCAACGAGUCGAGUUGUUUGGGA